UAAGGUGGUUUCUCAUAGGGUAGGACAGCACCUGGCAGGUUUUCCCAGAGUCUGAUCGAGGUGAAUAAUUAAUUGUAGUCAUUAAUGUCCGGGUGGUAAGAAAUUGCCAGAAUUGUAAGAUCCUAAUAGGCCAUUAGCAUCUCUAUACUGGAUGCACUUUAGUGGACUCUUCCUCUGACCAGCAGCGAUGAAACACUGUUCUGUUCUUGCUCAGGCUCUGUCUCCAGCUAUUCUGGAAGAGUCGGUCACAUUCAGAUGUUGAAAGGUACAAGAUAGGGAGUCCGAGGAGCAGACCCUGCUCAAGAUUUUGACACUAAAUGCUGUGUGACCUUAAAUGAGCCAUUAAAUCUCACCACUAUAUAAUUUCUUCCCUUACAAAGUAGGGAGGAACUAUCUCAUGCUGAUAACUGUUCUGAUAGGAAAUCUGUUUUGAUAUAUUGUGAUUUUUACCUAAGAAUUAAGUAUGGAUAUUUUGUUGCAUUAUAGCCUCAGUCCUGUUUGUAGCUGUCAUUCAACAGUAUGAGGGCCUACUAUGCCUGUACUUGUGGUAGGGAGGAAGACAAGACAUAUAAACCUGCAAAGUGAAAUAAAAGGCACAGCCCUGUUGGAAUGGGAAGCCAAAUUUCUACUCCUCAUUCAAAACCUCAUGAAAUAUCUCUCCCUGACUGCCUCCCCAGCUAUCUUGGCAAACAGUGCAUUCCAUAGAAGAUCAGGGCCUUUAUCACCUCGUGCAGUCAUCUGUCUUUUCAACCUCCUCUGACAGCCUGUUAUCUUCUAAAAGAAAGGACAGUGUCCUGCUCAUUUCCUUAUUCCCCCAUCCCUAGCAUAGUUCCUGAAAUAUGGUAGGCAUGCAAUAUUUCUACAUAAGUAAAUGGAUGGAGUGAAUAAUAAAUGCCAAAUACAGACCAUAAGAUACAAAAGAGAGGCAGCCAUGGUGGACAGAGCCCUGAAAUAGGAGCCAGAAGAUCAGGGUGCAAAUCAUCAACUUAUUAUUCCAUGAAACUCUGACUUUGGGCUCUCUGUGACCCAGUGUCCACAUCUGAAAAGUGCUAAUGCCCAAACCAAACAGGGUUAUUGUGGGAAUUAGGUAAAAUGCUCUAAACAAAAUUUAGCUCCCUUAUCUUGUAUUCCUUUUCCCUAAAUAGUUGGAAUACAACACUGGAGUCCAAGUUGCAACCCGAGGUGCAACUACAGGUUUCUAGGUUAUCCAAGAAGGAAGAAGUUGUAAACCACAGGAGUAGAUGAAUUCUCAAGGAGAAAAUGAAGAGAAAGAGGCUGAUAACAAUAUCCAAAGGAAUAUACACAAUUACAGGGCUGCAGAGAUCAUGAGCUAAAGAAAAGACUGAAGAAAGACGACAUUGUAUCAUGCAUCUAAUUCAAGAACAGUAUGGUGAAAUCUACGGAAUGUCAUAACAAGGUCCAGGAAAUAAAAGACUAAUUCAUUAUGCAUGAUUAUUUUGGCUUCUAGACCUUAAAUUUUGGUCAUGGUUUAAAGCUCUUCUAGUUGGAUGACCAUAAAAAUUCUCAAUGCAUUUUCAACAGUCUUACAAAAAUGGAAGACAAAUUUUGUGAAGGGAAAGAGAACUUAUGAAUAUAUCCUUUUCCCUUUCUUCUUUCUUUUUUUUUUUUGUUUUUUGAGACAGGGUCUCACUCUGUCAUCUAGGCUGGAGGGUGGUGGCAUGUUCAUG
rnacentral:lncRNA from 10 species